rnacentral:misc_RNA from 1 species
GUGGCAACCUUCGACGGGUCACGCGAAAGCGUACUUGAACCCCGAGGAAACGCGCAACCUGAAUAUCCACUUUGUGGAAUCCUCGCCCUUUAGGGCGGGGAGGAUGUCAAUCCGUAAACGUUC